rnacentral:lncRNA from 1 species
GCUCAGGUUCGUAUGUCCCAACUUAGUCGCCUGAAAAAGUUAGUGAAGGUGGUGGUACAGUUUCACGAUGUGGGUUCAACAGAGAGAGGGAAAGUUAGAGUGAGAGAGAGAAAACCGAAAAAGAUGAGAGGAGGAAAAAGUUUGAGGGAAGAGAUGAGCAAGAGAGACAAGAUGAGGUGGCAGCAAGGGAUAGGUCUCAAAGGUCUGAAAGAGGACACGGAAGCAAGGGAAGAGUGGGAAUGAGAGGACAUGGAGACAAAAAGGAGAGGAGACCCAUGUGGGUGGGUCCCACGGACAUAGAUAUCCCAUAAGAAAAUAAUAAAAUAGUAAGGGUGAAUAUUUGAAAUAAUGAAUUUACUAAAAUGCCAUUCUACUUUGUAAUGCCAUAAAAUCUUAUCGUAGCUUCAAAUUUGAUUCCAGUUGCGCCUAAGCAAUUGUACUGUCAAGUAUUUAGAGAAUAUGGUAAAAUAACAGCUCAUAUGCAUCACGGAAAGAUGGUCAGCAAAUGUCAUCAGUCUCGCUUCUAUGGGCAUUUUCAUUAAUUCACUCAUUUAAAAUUAAUAAAAUCAUAAAAUUAAGGAUGGGUUGUCAC